rnacentral:lncRNA from 1 species
AGGCUCAUCAGGAUCAACCGCAACAAUCUCCGCAGAUGACAUGGUGGGUUUGCAGAUGAUCACUGUCUUUUUAGGUAUGAAUGGGCCGUUAUCAUUCACGUCUUGAAGUAUAAUGCCCAGUGUCCCCGUACAUGUUCUCCCUCCUAGAAAAAUGAAAAUAAAAAUAGUUUUUCUAUGUUUUGAGUUUUCACCACAAAAGGGAAUGUUACAAGAAAAAUAGUAUUACUUUCAUAUGGGUUGUACAAACAAUGACUGCUAUUAAGAUGUGUUUAUUCAUUCGCUAAAUUAUUACUGCAUUUUAUUAGAGGCAAGUUUUGGCUGAUUUGUGAGAAGAGGAAGGAAGAGAGUAUGAAUGAGGACACUUCUGGUAUAUUUAAAAGCACAAGGAAAUUCAAGGAGAUGGAAACGCACGUUAUACACACCCGUGAUCUGGAGACAAUGACUGGGAAGGUAGACAGGUAGAAACUGACACGGAAGCAGGAGCUAAGGGUCUUUGAAAGCCAGACUAGGGAGCUUAGAGUCUGUUGGAUAAAUAGGUAGCACUUAGGUUUUGGAGCAAAGAAAUUGAAGUUACAUAUUUGAAAGAUUGUAACAAAAAUAGUACAUGGGAAUAUUCAAAGGGCAGAAGACUCCAGGAGUAGCAAAUUACUUGAAAACUGAAAUAAUCACUGUGGGUUGUAGCCUAAGU